AGGCGGAGCUUGCAGUGAGUCGAGAUCAUGCCACUGCACUCCAGCCUGGGCAACAGAGUGAGACUUUGUCUCGAAAAAAAAAAAAUUGCCUUCAGUAACUUGGAAAUUAGAAAACAGAUCCGGCUAAGCAGAGCUCCAGACAGAGUGGCAAAAAUUUCAGCGAACGCUCCUCGUGGCACUGGUGAGGCCUGUGAGGGUGAAAUGCACGAAAGGAGGGAUCGUCUAGUCUGCAGGCGGAAUCUGGAGGAAAUAGAGCCGGGGCCUGACCUGGUUUGGGAAACAAAACCAUCUCACGUGUUGUUGUCUCUGCAGUCAGCAAAGCAUUGUCUUUUAAAAAUUGUUUUAAAUUUGCUUUUUGUUUUUUAGAGACAAGGUUCUCCCUACAUUGCUCAAGGGAUCCUCCUGCCUCAGCAUCCUGACCAGCUGGGACUAUAGGGUGCAUCACCACUGCCCAAAAAUAUUCAAGUCAUAAGUGGCCUCAGGAUAAAGAUAAAAUCAAGGCAGUGAGCAACUGAGAAAGCUGUUUCGCCUCAAAUACAGGCUAUCGGACAUCUCAAAACACAGAGGAGAGACACCAAGGGCAGAGUCAAAAUCUGAGGAGGAAAAAAAGGGUAAUAAUGUCACUCCCAGGGAAAA